AUGGGGAGACUCAUGAAGGCUUUUGGUAAGGGUACUUCUGCUGCUUGUGUUGAAGAUUGCGAUGAUUCAGAUGGGGAUCCUUUUGUCCCCAAUGAUUUUGCCGAGGAUGAUCCUUUUCAAGCUUUGGAGGUCAAAUGGAUGAUCCUGAUUUGGAGAAAGCUUUGUAUGAGUUCUACGUGUCUCAUAAGUGCAAGAGGUCUUCUGAUUUUCCUGUAG
rnacentral:rRNA from 1 species